rnacentral:rRNA from 1 species
UGCAUAUAAUAGCUGAUGUGCACGUGUCAUGAUCGACCGUCCUCUACCGAGACAGUAUUGUCGGUAUGCACUAACAGUCUCGGUAGUUUAUAGUCUUCGCUGGCUGAUGAGCGAGACCAGAUCAGAGUGUGAAAGCAUAGAUCGAGCAAGAAUGUCUAGCAUCGAUACAUUAACAUGACAUUAGAGCAUAGGACGUGCGUUCAUGAUUUGAAGUAUGUUGACCAGCAACAAUGGGGACAGUUAUAUUCGGUCGCGACAGUAGUCAUCUUCGAGUGACGAAAUUACUAGGAUACUCUGAAGGCAAAUGAUUCAGAACGCUUUCAUCAAGGAUGUUUUCAAGUAUCGGGAACCAAAAGUAAUAGAUUCGAUGGUGGUCAGAAACACUCGUUAUGUCAACUAUAAACUGGGCUUGUUUAGUAUGGGACGCUCAGCAUAUUAGGGAAAGUAAGGCUCUUGGGUUGAGGGGGGAGUAUGGGAGGCAAGGGGGGAGUAUAAUGGCAUUGACGGAAGGGCACCAACUUGAGGGAAGCGCGCGGCCUAAUUUGACUCAACAGGGGGAAUUUCACCAGGCCCGGACAUAGUCAGCAGGUACAGACAGAAUGCUCUUUGUCGGUUCUAGAGCUGGUGGUGCAUGUCCGUUAUGAGUUCGCGGAGUGAUUUGUAGGGUUAAUUCCGAUAACGAACGAGACCGUAUUAACGAACAUAGACCUGGUCCACUAAAUAGCCCGGUCCGCAUUGCGGGUCUGGCUUUUUAGAGGGGGAAUAUCGCUUCAAGCCGAAGGAAGUUUUAGGCAAUAAACAGGUCUGUGAUGCCCUUAGAUGUUCUGGGCCGCACGCGCGCUACACUGACAAAGUCAGCGAGUACAUCACCUUAGCCGGAGAGGUUUGGGUAAACUUUGGAAAACCCAUCGUGCUGGGGGAUAGAGCAUUGUAAUUAUUGCUUUUCCAACGAGGAAUUGCCUAGUAAGGCGCAAGUCAUCAGCUCGUGCUGAUUACGUUCCCUGCCCCUUUGUACACACCGCCCGUCGCUACUACCGAUUGAAUGGUUAUAGGAGGCAUUCGGGAUCAGUCGAGAGGACGGCCAACACUCCCCUGAGCAGAGAACUAGCAUCUCGUCUAGGG